rnacentral:rRNA from 1 species
GAUGAACGCUGGCGGCGUGCCUAAUACAUGCAAGUCGAGCGAACAGACGAGGAGCUUGCUCCUCUGACGUUAGCGGCGGACGGGUGAGUAACACGUGGAUAACCUACCUAUAAGACUGGGCUAACUUCGGGAAACCGGAGCUAAUACCGGAUAAUAUAUUGAAUCGCAUGGUUCAAUAGUGAAAGACGGUUUUGCUGUCACUUAUAGAUGGAUCCGCGCCGCAUUAGCUAGUUGGUAAGGUAACGGCUUACCAAGGCAACGAUGCGUAGCCGACCUGAGAGGGUGAUCGGCCACACUGGAACUGAGACACGGUCCAGACUCCUACGGGAGGCAGCAGUAGGGAAUCUUCCGCAAUGGGCGAAAGCCUGACGGAGCAACGCCGCGUGAGUGAUGAAGGUCUUCGGAUCGUAAAACUCUGUUAUUAGGGAAGAACAAAUGUGUAAGUAACUAUGCACGUCUUGACGGUACCUAAUCAGAAAGCCACGGCUAACUACGUG